CCUGUGGUGGAUUCUCGAUGUGGAAUGAACCAAAAGUCAGGUUAAGGUGCCAGACAUUGCCGCUCAUGAAAUACCAGAAAAGGUGUUGGUCGAUAUAGACAGCAGGACGGUGGCCAUGGAAGUUGGAAUCCGCCAAGGAGUGUGUAACAACUCACCUGCCGAAUCGACUAGCCCUGAAAAUGGAUAGCGUUUGAGCUCCAGGCCCAUACCUGACCGUCUCAAUUACGCACUUUUUUUUCGGAAAAGGUGUAAUGAACGUUGAGACGGGUAGGAAGGUCGCGACAGUGUUGCUUUGAAGAGUUUUGAGCGUGAGCUCGCUCGGAGCCGCUGUUGGUGCAGAUCUUGGUGGUAGUAGCAAAUAUUCAAGUGAGAACCUUGAAGGCUGAAGUGGAGCAAGGUUCCAUGUGAACAGCAGUUGGACAUGGGUCAGUCGAUCCUAAGAAAACGGCGAAAGCUUGUUCGAAUUUGCGACAUGAAUUGUAAGACUGAAUAAUUAUUUGUGUGUGUGUUGUGGUGGAGGCGAUUGUGUCGUCACCAGUUGUUGUUGUGUGCAGUUGUCGUAUGUUUUCGAAAGGGAAUCCGGUUGAUAUUCCGGAACCGAGUAACGGAGACAAAGAGUAGCGCUUUAAUCUCUCUGUGGGGUUGGCGUUCAACUCAAUCGCGCGGUAACGCAAGCGAACUCGGAAAAUGACCGUCGUGAGUUUCGAAAAGAGUUUUCUUUUCUUUUUAAGGGACGCAUUCCCUGGAACCGGGUUGUCCGGAGAUAGGGAUUCUGGUAUCCAUAAAACGCCGACUUUUUCACGGUGUUCGGAGCGCUCUCGUCGGUACGUGAAAAUCC
rnacentral:ncRNA from 1 species